rnacentral:rRNA from 1 species
AUACGGAGGGUGCGAGCGUUGUUCGGAAUUAUUGGGCGUAAAGCGCGUGUAGGCGGUCUGUUAAGUCUGGUGUGAAAGCCCUGGGCUCAACCCAGGAAGUGCAUUGGAUACUGGCAGACUUGAGUAUGGGAGAGGAAAGCGGAAUUCCGAGUGUAGGAGUGAAAUCCGUAGAUAUUCGGAGGAACACCAGUGGCGAAGGCGGCUUUCUGGACCAAUACUGACGCUGAGACGCGAAAGCGUGGGGAGCAAACAGGAUUAGAUACCCUAGUAGUCC